rnacentral:rRNA from 1 species
UACGUAGGGGGCAAGCGUUGUCCGGAAUCACUGGGCGUAAAGCGCGCGCAGGCGGUCAUCUACGUCUGGGGUGAAAGCCCGGAGCUCAACUCCGGGAUUGCCUUGGAUACGGGAUGACUUGAGGAUCGGAGAGGCAAUGGGAAUUCCACGUGUAGCGGUGAAAUGCGUAGAGAUGUGGAGGAACACCUGUGGCGAAGGCGCCUUGCUGGCCGAUUUCUGACGCUGAGGGGCGAAAGCGUGGGGAGCAAACAGG